rnacentral:rRNA from 1 species
UACGAAGGGAGCGAGCGUUGUUCGGAAUCACUGGGCUUAAAGCGUGCGUAGGCGGGCAGGAAAGUCAGAAGUGAAAGCCCCGGGCUUAACCCGGGAACUGCUUUUGAAACUUCCUGUCUAGAAACCGGAAGAGGUUAGCGGAAUACCCAGUGUAGAGGUGAAAUUCGCAGAUAUCAGGAAGAACACCGAUGGCGAAAGCAGCUCUCUGGGACGGUACUGACGCUGAGGCGCGAAAGCGUGGGGAGCGAACAGG